CCACCCCUUACAGUGUAUAUGUGUGUGUGUGUGUGUGGGGGGGUGUGUCUUUGAAGUAUUCACUUUCUUAUUUGUCUCCCUUCUCCAGAUAACCAAAGUUUCUAGAGGCUACAAGAAGUUUUCUUAACUGGAAACUAUUGAAACUACAACCCCACAGCUAACCCUCCGUGUUAGGACAGGAUUGAUUAAGGUAGGUGAAAGAAGAGGAGACCAACCUCAUUGGAGCAGAAUUAUUUUUAAUCAGAACAAUUGAAGAACCAUAGUCUCUCCGAGGGAGUGGAGAUUGUGCUCAUAUGAUGGAGGGAUUUGGGGGGGGGGGCUUUAGAGGUGGAAGAGUCCACCUGCAUGUUUCAAACUAGUAAACACCAAAGGAGUUUGAUGUGUUGAUCUUAUUAUUAUAAGAAAAUUUAUUGAAAUCCCUUACAGGUUAACCUAACCAGGUUAGCUGGAUAGGUCCAGCUAACCCAACAAAUGGCUAGUUAUGAACUGAAAGUUUAAGAAUAUAGUAGUUACUUAGUCCCACAAGACUGGUAUUCUGUGCAUAACAGAAUCUCAAAGAGGGAGGUUACAAUGCCAGUGAAAGAAUGGAUGUGCUAGAAAGCAGCCAAAAAGCAAAACUUUCCUUAUUCCAAGUCCUUAUAUAGACUUCCAGGCAAGGAAUUUAAGGUAUGUUUGCCUGCCUCAAGGUCUAGAUCAAAAGCUUGUCUUCUCACUUUAAAAUCCAGAUGAGAGUUGUCUCUCCCUGUCUCAGAGAGUCCAUUAUAAGUGUUUUUAACCAGUUUAAACCAAGCAGAAUUUCUCUCACAUCUGUGCCCUCCAUUCCUGCAUUGUAGUUCAUUCCAGAUAUAGACAACC
rnacentral:lncRNA from 1 species